rnacentral:rRNA from 1 species
GUUUAUACGAAAUAAUGUAUAAUUUAGCCUGCCCACUGAGUUUUAAAGGGCCGCGGUAAUUUGACCGUGCGAAGGUAGCAUAAUCAGUAGUCUCUUAAUUGGGGGCUUGUAUGAAAGGUUGGACGAGAGGAAAGCUGUCUUUGUGGUGGAUCUUGAAUUUUACUUUUAAGUGAAAAGUCUUAAAUGUACUUAAGGGACGAUAAGACCCUGUAAAACUUAAUAAGGCUCUCUUGUUUAAAAAAUAUGAGUUAAACUUUAGUUCGUGAGAUUCUUAUUUGGUUGGGGCGACUGGAAUAUAAUAGUAUAGUAACUGUUCAUAAAAAUAAAUAAUCAUAAUUUGUAAACAUGAGCCUUUAUUAAGGAUUAAAAGAUAAAGUUACUUCAGGGAUAACAGCGUGAUUUUUUUUGAGAGUCCUUAUCGACAAAAGUAGUUGCGACCUCGAUGUUGAAUUAAAAUUUCUUUCAAAUGCAGCAGUUUGAUUAGUGGGUCUGUUCGACCUUUAAAAUUUU